rnacentral:lncRNA from 1 species
GGAAAGCACGUGUCAUGUGAUCUAAACUCAUUUUUUCUUCGAGUUUACCAAAAACGAUUUUACAUCCGAUUUAACAUUUUUUUAUUUUACGAGUUAAAAUGCGAUUUUGACAACAAUAAUAACAACAAAAUCCUACUCUCAACAUGUAGUUAAAAGACAAAUAUGACCAGUACAAUUUAGAGAUUAUUUUUUAGAGAUUUUAUAGAAACUAGUUUAAAGACCC